UUCACGCGGCGAUAUAAAGUUGGAUCGCCAAUAACCGGAAGUUAAAAUGCAAACGCUUCACUAGGAAGCGGUUCACGCAGCUGGUGCAAAAUCACUUUUAUUUUUUAUCUGCGGCAAGGAAAAACAGUUUUAUGAUUUUUUUUCCUGUGAGAUAGCACUGUCAUCAAAAUACAGAUGCUUUUCCUACAUCAAUGAUUUUUCACUACAGCCUAAGGGCCUCUUGGCUUUAAAGCUCUGGUUAUUUUUGCUAAUAUAUCAAGAAUUUAACUCCUAACUAUUUCAUAAAUCAACUCCAGAUGCACUGUAUAGUAUUUAUAUACUUAUUUUCAGACGUACGUUCUGGCUCAGUAGAUUGCCAACUCACCAUUUCAAUGCUUCAAAGCGAUGAUGCUGGGAAUUGUCAGCUCUGAAGACAAGGUUAGCUCACAGGAGCAGGAUGUACUGUGUGAAAUGCUGAUUUGUGAAAGUGUUACAAUCCAUAUAUCUUGCAGGUCGAAUUGCAUGCAUUAUAUGAUCAGAAAUAUACAGAGGAUUGAUCUGCCAGUGCUUAUUUUAAAGCAGAAUUCAUGUUGUCUCCAAAGGUGAGGGUGCUAGUGAUGUACCAGGGCAGAAGCUAGAAGGUGCAUCUUUCAACCCACCCCAGCCUGGAGAAGCUGUGGCAAAGCACUCCUGUAGCCUGAUAACAAACCCCCGUGGCCUAACUCUCACCCCAGCAUUGCUGGGAGCAGUAAGCACCCUGCCCUGUCCAGGAUGAAAAAUAUCUCCUAAAACACACUCCACCCAUGUUUCAUGCCCUGCCCAGCCUGCUGCUUCAUCUCCAGGUGCAGAGGAAGGGGGUUGUUUUUGGCUAAGGUGCUACUGUCUUGGGACCUGGUUAUUUUAUAAAGUUUCUUUCCAGUUCCAAGUUAGUACAACGAUUUUGAUGAGCUGACGUACAGAAAAUGGUAUCCCUGUCCUGUCUGAUGUCUUCUUGGUCAAGUCCAGUCUGUGUUUAUUGCUUCUCAAAUGGUAGCUGGAUUUGCUGGGUUUACAGACCUUCCCUGGGGUGACAGCGCUGAUUGUCCAUGCAGGAAUGGACAAAUAGAGUUGAAAGUUGAAGUUAUUUACUUUGUGAAUAGUAUAAUAAUUUUUUUUCUGAGUACCAGUUUGAUUAAAUAGUUUGGUUUGGGGUUUUGGUUUUGUUUUUUUUGUUUUUUUUUUUUUUUAAUGAGUAUAAUGGUGCUGAAAAUGUAAAAAGUAAAUAAUUAGAUUUAUAAAAUAGGGCAUUUAUUUAUUUAUAGUGGUCUAAUUGAAGGUGUUCCCCUUGUUAGUAGAAUAAAUCUUCUUAUUGUACAGGCAGCUGUAGAAGUAAGAAAGUACUUUAAACUAGUAGAAGAUUUUUCACAACUGCUCUCUUUAUGAAGCGCCGUCUGGCUUUUCCGCUGGUCUGACACGACUGCAAACCUGGCUCGAUCGGGACUCUCCAUGUCCACCUGCGCUGGAAGGCACAUCCGGACGGCCGGAGGCGUUGCCGGCUGCCGGCGGUGAUGGCAGAGCCCCGCUUGCGCGGCAGCUCCAGGCCUUGCCAGGGCACGUCAAUAUUUCUUGUCCCUCUCUUUCGGGGUGUCUUCCCAGUGUGGGGAACCCCCAAGGCCGGCCAAACCCUCCUGCGGGCGAGGAGCGCACCCCGCGCCGGCGGUGCGGGGCGCCGGACUCAGCGCCACCGGGAGCUGCUGAAGUGAGAACUUGAAAGGAGUCGUCGGUGGCGAGAAGAGGCGGACAAAGCAAGCGCCGGACUACCGAACGCGGCGCUCUGCCGGCGAGUUUUAAGGCGCUUCAAGUCUGAAGGAGAAGUGACAGGGCAAUCAUCUCCCCGGCUUGGCUGCGGAUGGGAGGGUGGAAUCUUGCUAACAGCUCGCUUAUCUGUAUAUUUAAUUGCGACCUGGCUGCAUGUUCCUGUUGAGGAAGGAUGCAGAUCACAAGCGAAUCUAUAAAAACGCAGUUGACAAGCCAGGGAAAGGGAUAACUGACAGAUGAAACGACAGUCAGCGCGGAGCUAACUGGCAAACGCAUCGGUACAAAGUCAGGUACCUUCUGAGAGGAGUAGUAGUUUGUUUUAUUCCGGUUCUCCAGAGUUUUAUCUACUGUCGGUGUGAUGGGGUAGAGAGGAGCUAAUGUGCCCUGUUUAGGAUACAAACAUGCAGAUUAGAUCAGGCUUCAGACACCGUGUUUCACUCAAGACUUAGAACAGUUAGAGGAAUAAACCAGACUUCCCCCACCUAGGAAAACAUGGAAUUUUCUUUUAAUGAUUUAAAGGUGAUUUACACUUGUUUAAACACAACCCUUUCACAUACGGAUAUAGGGAGCUAUCGGGAGUUGAUGGGGUCGGGAGCUGGGGCCCGGAGCUCGCCGCCACCGUUGUGCGAGGCUGGGGCGCUGGGAAUACCAGCCCAGCUCCCGUUUUCUUCACUUUUGUGUUACUUUAAGUUUUCAAUGAGGCUAGUGUAAUUACGAGGCGUUUAACUUUUUGCCAGGCUCUUUCAUUAUGGCUUUGCAUUUGCACCUCGCUUUUAAGGGAAGUAAUAACAUUCACAGUCAGGGGCAAAUCCUGUUAAUGAACAAAUUAAAGUUCAAACAGUUAUUCAAGUUCACAGCCCCACUCGCUGCUCCUUUAAUAAGAGUUAUACAUGUUACUUUCUCUCGGGAUCACUCCCCCUUUUAUUACUUUUUAAGCUUUUCAUAAGCACUAGCGAGCUAUACGGGCAGCUCCCAGCCUCUAAAGAGCCCACAAAUCCUGAAGGGAGCCCUAAUCCGACCUUAAUUUGGCAACUUUUGUAAAAGACAUAAAAGCUCGGGUGCCACCCUUGUGCGCUCAGAUUAUAAUGUCAGGGGACAAGCCGGGGGAAGGCUCCCUCUAUCCCGCACCCACCUAUUUGAGUUGGCUCCCUCCCUUCCGGAGCUGUUCAAAAAGCCUCCUUUAGUCCCUCACGGGUACCAGAGGAGAAGUAAGGAAGUCUGAUUGAUAUCCUGGGAAUUUCCACCCCCUCUCACCAUAGCUCUACUUGGCUGCGCUGGGCGCGGGCUGCCGGGGCGACCGGUCCUCCCAGCACGUCCGGCACCGCUGCCCUUAGGCCGGAGCCCGUUGCCUGCCUUCAAGAGUUAGCAACGUGGGGUUGAAAAAAACCAAAACAACCCCCCCGCAAAUAUAAAUCCUUGCGCUCUUCCUCUCUUCCCGCCCCUCUUCUUUUUCUCCAAACCUUGCGCGAUUAGAGUGUCUGCGCUCACCUCGGCAUUUGCAUAACAUGAAUCUAAAUUCCCCUUGUCAGGGGCUGCCCGAGCCCAGGGGAGCCGCGGGUCCCGGUGGGACCGGGCGGGGAGCGGGGCGGCCCCCCCGCAGAGCCGGGCUCUGGGCUGGGGGGCGGCAGGCAGAGUCCAACAAAGCCCGGGGAGUUUGACACUGGUUCACGGCAGCGCCAGUGCAAAAGCGCCGUCUAUGUACAAAUAAAGGAGAUCACACUCCCCAUUAUCUACCUCCUGGCGAGUGUUUGAUUUGUGACAUCAAAAGCUUAUCAAGCCAAGCUCACAAAAAAAAAAAAAAAAAAAAAAAAAAAAAAAAAAAA